CUGUAAGCCUGUGAAGGUGUACUGUGAGGUAUGCUGGAGGUAUCAGAAGUGCGAAUGCUGACAUAAGUAACGAUAAAGCGGGUGAAAAGCCCGCUCGCCGGAAGACCAAGGGUUCCUGUCCAACGUUAAUCGGGGCAGGGUGAGUCGACCCCUAAGGCGAGGCCGAAAGGCGUAGUCGAUGGGAAACAGGUUAAUAUUCCUGUACUUGGUGUUACUGCGAAGGGGGGACGGAGAAGGCUAUGUUGGCCGGGCGACGGUUGUCCCGGUUUAAGCGUGUAGGCUGGUUUUCCAGGCAAAUCCGGAAAAUCAAGGCUGAGGCGUGAUGACGAGGCACUACGGUGCUGAAGCAACAAAUGCCCUGCUUCCAGGAAAAGCCUCUAAGCAUCAGGUAACAUCAAAUCGUACCCCAAACCGACACAGGUGGUCAGGUAGAGAAUACCAAGGCGCUUGAGAGAACUCGGGUGAAGGAACUAGGCAAAAUGGUGCCGUAACUUCGGGAGAAGGCACGCUGAUAUGUAGGUGAAGCGACUUGCUCGUGGAGCUGAAAUCAGUCGAAGAUACCAGCUGGCUGCAACUGUUUAUUAAAAACACAGCACUGUGCAAACACGAAAGUGGACGUAUACGGUGUGACGCCUGCCCGGUGCCGGAAGGUUAAUUGAUGGGGUUAGCGCAAGCGAAGCUCUUGAUCGAAGCCCCGGUAAACGGCGGCCGUAACUAUAACGGUCCUAAGGUAGCGAAAUUCCUUGUCGGGUAAGUUCCGACCUGCACGAAUGGCGUAAUGAUGGCCAGGCUGUCUCCACCCGAGACUCAGUGAAAUUGAACUCGCUGUGAAGAUGCAGUGUACCCGCGGCAAGACGGAAAGACCCCGUGAACCUUUACUAUAGCUUGACACUGAACAUUGAGCCUUGAUGUGUAGGAUAGGUGGGAGGCUUUGAAGUGUGGACGCCAGUCUGCAUGGAGCCGACCUUGAAAUACCACCCUUUAAUGUUUGAUGUUCUAACGUUGGCCCCUGAUCGGGGUUGCGGACAGUGUCUGGUGGGUAGUUUGACUGGGGCGGUCUCCUCCUAAAGAGUAACGGAGGAGCACGAAGGUUGGCUAAUCCUGGUCGGACAUCAGGAGGUUAGUGCAAUGGCAUAAGCCAGCUUGACUGCGAGCGUGACGGCGCGAGCAGGUGCGAAAGCAGGUCAUAGUGAUCCGGUGGUUCUGAAUGGAAGGGCCAUCGCUCAACGGAUAAAAGGUACUCCGGGGAUAACAGGCUGAUACCGCCCAAGAGUUCAUAUCGACGGCGGUGUUUGGCACCUCGAUGUCGGCUCAUCACAUCCUGGGGCUGAAGUAGGUCCCAAGGGUAUGGCUGUUCGCCAUUUAAAGUGGUACGCGAGCUGGGUUUAGAACGUCGUGAGACAGUUCGGUCCCUAUCUGCCGUGGGCGCUGGAGAACUGAGGGGGGCUGCUCCUAGUACGAGAGGACCGGAGUGGACGCAUCACUGGUGUUCGGGUUGUCAUGCCAAUGGCACUGCCCGGUAGCUAAAUGCGGAAGAGAUAAGUGCUGAAAGCAUCUAAGCACGAAACUUGCCCCGAGAUGAGUUCUCCCUGAGACUUUAAGUCUCCUGAAGGAACGUUGAAGACGACGACGUUGAUAGGCCGGGUGUGUAAGCGCAGCGAUGCGUUGAGCUAACCGGUACUAAUGAACCGUGAGG
rnacentral:rRNA from 1 species